rnacentral:lncRNA from 1 species
UGGGACUCAGCCAGCCAAAACAAGGAUGCACUCAAGCUGGAGAGCCUGAUGAGGACCUGACAUCCCAUCACUUGUCAUAGUUCCUGAGCCUCUGCAUGAUUCUCACUGCUCUCAAACUCUACUGCCUGUCUGGACCUUGGUGAGAGCCAAAACUUCUCCCUAUGACCCUCUCAACUGGUCAUCCACUCCAUGCCAGGAAAAGCCUGCAUUGGUCCCAGACCUGGUUACCUCAGUCUGAGUGUGGAUGCAUCUGCUGGACAUAAAGCCUAAGGCCUGAGAGUUUUGAACUUAGCAUGCAGAGGAAAUGUCUGUCAUUAGCCUGUCAUGAUUAAGUGUGUUUGCAGUGCUUAGAAUUAAUCUAGAAUUGUUUGCUGUGAAUUAAUUAAUCUAGAAUUGUUUGUUGUGAAUUGAUUAUGUAUAUUGCAGUGCCUAGCAUUAAGGAUUGUCGUUUUCUGGAUUAAGAACCUAUAGUCUGAAAUUGCAUUGAGUGAUUUGAGUAAAUAAAGCAUUGAAAAGGGGCAGAAGCGCAUGGACAUUC